rnacentral:rRNA from 1 species
UACGUAGGGGCGAGCGUUGUCCGGAAUAAUUGGGCGUAAAGGGCGCGUAGGCGGCUCUGCAAGUCAGUAGUGGAAGUCCCAUUUUCAAGGUGGGGAGGGCUAUUGAAACUGCGGAGCUUGAGUGCAGGAGAGGUUAUCGGAAUUCCCGGUGUAGCGGUGAAAUGCGUAGAGAUCGGGAGGAACACCAGUGGCGAAGGCGGGUAACUGGACUGCAACUGACGCUGAGGCGCGAAAGUGUGGGGAGCAAACAGGAUUAGAUACCCUGGUAGUCCCUGA